UACGUAGGGUGCAAGCGUUGUCCGGAAUUAUUGGGCGUAAAGAGCUCGUAGGCGGUCUGUCGCGUCUGCCGUGAAAGUCCGGGGCUCAACUCCGGAUCUGCGGUGGGUACGGGCAGACUAGAGUGAUGUAGGGGAGACUGGAAUUCCUGGUGUAGCGGUGAAAUGCGUAGAGAUCCGGAAGAACACCGGUGGCGAAGGCGGCCUGCUGGGCAGUAGCUGACACUGAGGCGCGACAGCGUGGGGAGCAAACAGG
rnacentral:rRNA from 1 species